GCMACGUGAMYWACCRAGGAUAGGAYKUUCCCCUUCGGGRGACAGAGUGACAGGUGGUGCAUGGKUGUCGUCAGUGGGGCGUGAGAUGUKGGGUUAAGUCCCGCAACGAGCGCAACUAAGAUCUUAGUUGCCAGCAUUCAGUUGGGCACUCUAAGGUGACUGCCGGUGACAAACCGGAGGAAGGKGGGGAUGACGUCAAAUCAUCAUGCCCCUUAUGACCUGGGCUACACACGUGCUACAAUGGAUGGUACAAAGGGCUGCAAAACCGCAAGGUCUAGCCAAUCCCAUAAAACCAUUCUCAGUUCGGAUUGUAGGCUGCAACUCGCCUACAUGAAGCCGGAAUCGCUAGUAAUCGCGGAUCARCWUGCCGCGGUGAAUACGUUCCCGGGUCUUGUACACACCGA
rnacentral:rRNA from 1 species